UACGUAGGCAGCAAGCGUUGUUCGGAAUUACUGGGCGUAAAGGGUGCGUAGGCGGCGCUUUAAGUUUGGUGUGAAAUCUCCCGGCUUAACUGGGAGGGUGCACUGAAAACUGGGGCGCUCGAGUAUGGGAGAGGAAAGCGGAAUUCCUGGUGUAGCGGUGAAAUGCGUAGAGAUCAGGAGGAACACCUGCGGUGCAGACGGCUUUCUGGACCAUCACUGACGCUGAGGCACGAAAGCGUGGGUAGCAAAC
rnacentral:rRNA from 1 species